CUGUAGUCCCAGCUACUGGGAGGCUGAGGCAGGAGAAUCACUUGAAACCGGGAGGUGGAGGUUGCAGUGAGCCAACAUCACACCACCGCAUUCCAGCUUGGGCAACAAAGUGAGACUUUGUCUCAAAAAACAACAAAAAAAUAGAUUUGAGGGUACAAGUGCCAUUUCGUUACAUGGAUAUAUUGCGUGGUGAUGAAGUGUGGGCUUUAGUGUGCCCAUCACCCAAAUUGUGUACAUUAUUGCUUUUUUUUUUUUUUUUUGUAGCAAAGUGGAAGAUGCAUUCUACAAAGGUCAACUCAGACUGAAUGAGGAAAAAUUAUGGAAGAAAAGCAGAACGGUGAAAGUGGGAGAUACAUUGGAUCUUCUCAUUGGAGAGGAUAAAGAAGCAGGAACGGAGACAGUUAUGCGGAUUCUCUUGAAAAAAGUGUUUGAAGAGAAGACUGAAAGUGAAAAAUACAGAGUGGUGUUACGGCGGUGGAAAAGUUUAAAGUUGCCUAAGAAGAGAACAUCUAAAUAAAUGGAUUGCUUUUUGGCAAUAAAGCUGCUCUCUAGUGGUAGAGGAAGGGGUCACCUGAAAAAGAGGACAUUUUUAUUAAAAUAAAGUUCUCUUAGCAUGUGUGGAAUCUGCUGAGCCAUUUUGUAGAAACUAGGAUCCAUAUCUGGAGACACUUCCCAAGGCCUGCCUUACCCCCACCCCCUGCCCACCUUGAUCCAUGCCCCUUUGACCUCCUCGUGUGAGAACCCCUUUGCCAGAGUGAGACGUGUGCAGAAUGAACUAAGCCCCAGAGGGUUUUAAUGGCUUGCCUGCUGUUUCCCACAUAAACUACCUCAGGAGUCAUUGUAAAAUAAACUGGCCUUGUUGUCU